UCCAGUGGCAGUAAGCUGUCCAGGGCAGUACCAUGCCCCUGACAGUGUUACGCUGCUGGGAGAUAAAAUACUGGCCAUUUCAUCUGUCUGUCAUCACACUUCUGAAGGCAGCUGCCACCAGUGUGGAACAUGUUGUGCUUCCCUGAGUGUGCACUAAGCAUUUGCCUUCACUUUUUAAUGCUAGUCUGGAACCAUGCAUG